GAUGAUGUGGCUCUGUCUCUCCAGCACUCAGAUCAGUUCUGGUGGCUGUUUGCUCUCUUCAUCAUCAUCAUCAUCAUCUUCAUCAUCUUGAUGUGUUUCAUGCUGCGGAAAAGGAUCUUCAGAUGUUUUCCAAAGGCAGCACCAUCUGUCCAUCAGUGCAAUGAUUCAGGAAACAGGGAUCCUGAAACUGGUCUCCAAAUAAAGGUCAGAUCUGAUGCUCCUGAUUCACUGAAUCACUCUGAAUCUGAUCAGUUCAAUGGCUCCGUGUCCAGAGGAUGAUCAGGAUCUGCCGGUCUGAAUUAACAUGAUUCUCAGGUCAAUUUGUUAUUGACUCAACUGAAGCGUCUCUGACGUCUACAUCUGUUACAGUAUAAAUCACAAACUCAAAGAUAUCAGGCAUUUGCGACUCGCUUUUCUGCACUCAAUAAUGAAAUACUGAUGCCAGUUUCGGUGUUUGAAAUCUCAGUAUGUUAUUUUUU